rnacentral:tRNA from 1 species
GGGGGAUUAGCUCAGUUGGGAGAGCGCUUGACUGGCAGUCAAGAGGUCAGGGGUUCAAGUCCCCUAUUCUCCACCA